CGCCAGUGGAGGAGCUGGAGGCUAAGGUUUCCGCUCAGGAGGAGCGCGUCAUGCGGCUGGAAGAGUUGGAGCCUAAGGUUUCUGCUCAACAGGAGUUGGAGAAACGCGUCGCGUGGCUUGAGGAGCAGGUUUCCGCUCAGCUGGCGAUGUUUUCGACGCCACCAGUCGCCAUGCAAGUGCAAGUCACCACCGUUCCUGCUCCAUCCGAUCCGCAGCUCCCUGCUUCCAGCUCAGAUGAGCUUCCGCAGCUUCCGGUGCGCUGCCUGGAGCAGCUCCGAAAUUUGGAAGCAGCAUCACCACAGUGUUUCCCACAUGUGCUAGAGUACAUGCUGUCUAAAAGAAAACGCGGCCCCACAUUGAAAGGAGACAAAGUUUUGAAAAAAAUAGUUGAUUUCUAUUUUGAUCGGCAAUUUUUAAAUACAUGUGUUUGGGUGAAGCCGAGAGCGAAAAGACCCAUUGUGUUAUCGAAGUAUACAAACACCUUACGAGUGCUGCAUAAGGUAACGCAGCAUUACGACGAUAACUAUGAGUAUAAGGAGUUUCAAAGAAAAAUGUCCGCCUACGUGAAACACUCGCAGUUUAGAUGCAAAACCGAACCUCGACGAUUUACGUAACAACAACUACAGUCCAAUACACCCAACAACUGAAGGUGCCUUCCCUAACACGUAGACACAGAGAGUUUCUGAUGUGGCUGGAACUGUGGAUGCCUCACUCUUGGACUGCCAGUACGUACUAGUAUUCUGAACGAGAUCAGCCCCAGUGCCGAUCGUGAACAUGCCGUUACGCCCAGGGAAUCAGCUAAACAUGUCGUAUGGUGGAAGCGUGAUCCUGCGGCAGGAGGUCGGGCAAAAGCAAGAGGUUUAUGAGCGAGGGAUCAUCCCUCAGGUUUUCUUCACCAAUGCGUCGUAGAAGGGCGAGCUUGCGAACGGAUUAAGCAUGAUUAUGUCAUCCAGAAACACCAGCAAAAUAGGAUCAUCUCGAAGCGCGUUCCAUAGAUUGGAGCAGCAGCCCAUCGUAGAGGACACCCUAAGCGUUAGCGUUUCGCUUCUACUUCGAGACUGCUUCGCUAUGCUGGCGUAAUUAUGGUCGCUAGCAGGAUUACGUCCAGAUGCAACACAGAGGCUAAGCUCAAACGAUUAACGAGAAACCUUGUAUUGUUUAGUGCAGUCAUUUGAAGGUAACGAUACGAUAAGGACUUGGAUUGUGAUAAAAUAAUUUUGCCCAAUAGUGGGUACUAGGGGAACAACGAUAGCAAACAAUAGCGCAUAGACUAAGAAUUCGACUUUAGUUACAUCGAAGGUAAUGCAGGAUGGAUGCGUCUACCGCCGUCAAAAACUGACCGUAUAAAAAAAAGAACAGAAAACUAGCAAUACUACUUUGAGCGCAUUACAUGGGACCAGCAACUUUAUGUUAGCAAUCAAGCACUAUUUUUUUAUGCUAUGGAGUAAACUAACACUCUUAAAGUGCGCCCUGAAUUCCAGAUGAUCAAGUAUAGCCAUAUUUUCGAUUCUUAGCUGAAACGCUGGACAGCCACAUGUUGUAGUUACUACGUUGUAGUUAGUUAGGAAAAUAGUUCUUUGCUUGGAAUGUUUUUUGCUAAAUAAGUUUCACUUUCACUGUAGUAAAUAUUGUUCAUUUUUCUUAGUAAAAUAAUUAUUGGUUUGCUAUUCAUUUUUAAGUAACGCUGCUUCAACCGUUCGUUUGCUGUACGUUAUAGUUUCCGCUGCCAUUC